GAUGAACGCUGGCGGCGUGCCUAAUACAUGCAAGUCGAGCGAACAGAUGAGGAGCUUGCUCCUCUGACGUUAGCGGCGGACGGGUGAGUAACACGUGGAUAACCUACCUAUAAGACUGGGAUAACUUCGGGAAACCGGAGCUAAUACCGGAUAAUAUAUUGAACCGCAUGGUUCAAUAGUGAAAGACGGUUUUGCUGUCACUUAUAGAUGGAUCCGCGCCGCAUUAGCUAGUUGGUAAGGUAACGGCUUACCAAGGCAACGAUGCGUAGCCGACCUGAGAGGGUGAUCGGCCACACUGGAACUGAGACACGGUCCAGACUCCUACGGGAGGCAGCAGUAGGGAAUCUUCCGCAAUGGGCGAAAGCCUGACGGGGCAACGCCGCGUGAGUGAUGAAGGUCUUCGGAUCGUAAAACUCUGUUAUUAGGGAAGAACAAAUGUGUAAGUAACUAUGCACGUCUUGACGGUACCUAAUCAGAAAGCCACGGCUAACUACGUGC
rnacentral:rRNA from 1 species